rnacentral:sRNA from 1 species
AGUCGGAGUCUCCCUAUGUUUCCCAGGCUGGUCUCGAACUCCUGACCUCAAGUGAUCCUCCCACCUCAGCCUCCCAGAGCGCUGGGAUUGAAGACGUGAGCCACCGCACCUGGCCUGAAUUUUCCUCAGAUUCAAAAAAUCCUGAUGAAGGUUUGGCUAAAAUCUUUGGCUAUUCCCAACAAAAGAGCUUGAACAGUGCUGCAUUUGCAUCAGGUUCAAAUGAGCGAGAGGAACAUUUGGCUAAAAUAUUUGACACUUAAGGAAACUUUUGUCAGGUCAUUGACUAACUUCAGAGAUAAGAAAACAGAAAAUUCAGCACUCUCACACAACAAGAAGUACGCACUUUGCAAAACUAGUUUGGAAAAGUUACAAAAAAAUGGCUUCGGCCUUCAAUAAGCAAAAAUCAACAAUCACUGAAAGACAGGAUUAGAUUUCCAGGGUUAUCAAAAUGUAAUACACAGAAUGUCCAUCUCUCAACAUAAAAUUAUAAAACAUACAAAGAAACAGGAAAGGAUGGAUCAUUCACAGGAAAAA